rnacentral:misc_RNA from 1 species
UUCCCUUGCAAUAGGCACAUUGGUC